AGAGUUUGAUUAUGGCUCAGGAUGAACGCUAGCGGCAGGCUUAACACAUGCAAGUCGAGGGGCAGCGGGAUGUAGCAAUACAUUGCCGGCGACCGGCGGAUGGGUGCGUAACGCGUAUGCAACCUACCUUAUACAGGGGAAUAACCUUUCGAAAGGGAGACUAACACCCCAUAGUAUUGAUUUAAGGCAUCUUAGAUUAAUUAAAUAUUUAUAGGUAUAAGAUGGGCAUGCGUAUGAUUAGCUAGUUGGUAAGGUAACGGCUUACCAAGGCGACGAUCAUUAGGGGUUCUGAGAGGAAGGUCCCCCACACUGGUACUGAGACACGGACCAGACUCCUACGGGAGGCAGCAGUGAGGAAUAUUGGUCAAUGGGCGCAAGCCUGAACCAGCCAUGCCGCGUGCAAGGAAGACGGCCUUAUGGGUUGUAAACUGCUUUUACAUAAGACUAACCGUAUAUUUGCGAAUAUACCUGAAUGUAUUAUGAGAAUAAGGAUCGGCUAACUCCGUGCCAGCCGCAGC
rnacentral:rRNA from 1 species